GCCCGGCAGGCACCUCCUAAUAAAAAGUUCUUAUUUUUAUUAAGAGGGGUGUUAGAAGCUUUAUAAAAAAUUAACCAGCUUGCAUUUUAAGUAUAACACAGAAAUUAAAAAAAGGAUAAUAGUUUACAAGUACUGUAAAGGAAAGUUAUAUUUAAGACAAAGCAAAACUAAGCUCUUGUACCUUUUGUAUCAGGGAUAAACAAAAUAAUCCGGUUAUUAACAGAAGUCUCGAAACGAGGGGAGCUAGCAGUGUUAAUAGUUCUUCGUGGUAAAGAAGUUUGUAAAAGAUUGCUAGUGGCGAUAUACUAGGCGCCCUUCGUAUAUCUAGUUUUCUCUAAAAAAAAUUUAAUUUUGGUUUUCCUUAGAAUUAAAUUUAAAGCAGAAGACGGGAGGUAAAAGCUUCUCGUUUACUGUUUAUAAGGCGAGUAAAAAUCAGUGGCUGAGUAGGCUUAAAACCAGUCACCUUAUUAUAGCGUUAUAGUAAAUCCACCACCAAAUUUUCUUUAUAUAAGCCUGUUGACUUUAAGUGAAAAUAUUCUUUAAUAAGAUCGUAUUAGCUGAAAUGUUUAUAUAAGUAUAUUUAAAGUAUAAUAAGAGUGUUGAGUGCAAAUUAAGUUUUAAUAAAUUCUAGUUGUUUAAAAGGAACUCGGCAAACAAUAUCUUCACCUGUUUAUCAAAAACAUGUCUCUAUGAAAAUAAAUAUAAAGUCUAGCCUGCCCACUGAGUUUUUGAAGGGCUGCGGUAAUUUGACCGUGCAAAGGUAGCAUAAUCAGUAGUCUUUUAAUUGAAGGCUUGUAUGAACGGUUGGAUGAGGGAAAAGCUGUCUCUUUUAUAACCUAAAACUUGACUUUUAAGUGAAAAGGCUUAAAUAGUGUAGUGGGACGAUAAGACCCUAUAAAACUUUAUAUGUUGCCUGCUUUUUGUUAAAAUUCUACCUAAAAUUUGAAAAGCACUCUACAUAUUUUGUUGGGGAGACAUUGAUAUAAAUUGUAACUGUCUAAAUAAAAAAUAUAAUUAUCAUUAUAAUCUGAUCCUUCUUUGUGGAUAAAAAGAAUAAGUUACUUUAGGGAUAACAGCGUGAUUUUUUCUGAGAGUUCUUAUCGAAGAAAGUAGUUGCGACCUCGAUGUUGAAUUAAAACUUCCUACAGGUGUAGCAGCUUAUUAGGCAGGUCUGUUCGACCUUUAAAGUUUUACAUGAUUUGAGUUCAAACCGGUGUGAGCCAGGUUGGUUUCUAUCUUCUAUCAAUUCUUUAGAAGCUUUAGUACGAAAGGAUUGAGCUUUUGAGAUUAUCUCUUUAUGAGAUUAAAUAUAAAUAUUACCUUGGCAGAUUUAUGCGCCGGAUUUAGGAUCCGUUUAAAUAGUAUUAUACUAUAG
rnacentral:rRNA from 1 species